UACGUAGGGCGCAAGCGUUAUCCGGAAUUAUUGGGCGUAAAGAGCUCGUAGGCGGUUUGUCGCGUCUGCCGUAGAAAGUCCGGGGCUCAACUCCGGAUCUGCGGUGGGUACGGGCAGACUAGAGUGAUGUAGGGGAGACUGGAAUUCCUGGUGUAGCGGUGAAAUGCGCAGAUAUCAGGAGGAACACCCGUGGCUAAGGCGGCUCUCUAGUACGGUACUGACGCUGAGACGCGAAAGCAUGGGGAGCGAACGGG
rnacentral:rRNA from 1 species